CAAACACAUAAACUAACGACUCGAGGACUUGGUAUUUCUUCGACCUGCAGAGAGGAUACGGCACUUGGCCUCGCAAGAGACUUUAGAAAUGGCGGCAGUGAACCAUUCCAUAAAGGUACUGAAGUGGCAUGUCCAUUAGCAUCCAAGUGGUGGAAACAGGUGAUUUUUCAUAAAUCUCCAUUAUUUCAAUUGUAGUUCAUAUUAUUAAAAGAAGGGGAGAGGGGAACGGUGGCAAUGUUGUCCAGUAAGUGAAAACAAAUUUGUAAAAAUAAUAAAACAUAGAUAAUAAUUUAAAGAAUAUUUUCCUGUUUUUGAUCUAUUGUGCCUGCCUGUGUUUGAUCUUUUGCUUAAUGAAAUCAUAGCAGACAUGUCUGUCCUGGGUUUCUGGUUCCUUAUGAUAGCCAAGUAUGCCUCCAUGUCCCGUCUUUUCACUUGGAGUACAAUUCGCUUCAAUGGCACUUUUCUUUUAGUUUAUGGACUCUCCACCAUGAUAAAAGAAAUAUUUAUCUCCAUGAAUCUUAUUCUUCUGAGAGGAACCCCCCAAUCUCAAAACACUUCUGAAUUGACAACACACCACUUGUAAUUGUGGACUCACAUUUUGCAUAUACAGAUGCAAACACCUGCACAUGUUCUUAUUUUGUCUUUAUGCUUAUUGCAAGUUGCUUGCUGAUAUAU
rnacentral:misc_RNA from 1 species